rnacentral:rRNA from 1 species
UACGUAGGAGGCAAGCGUUGUCCGGAAUUACUGGGCGUAAAGCGCGUGUAGGUGGUGGGACAAGUCUGCUGUGAAAGCGCCUGGCUUAAUCGGGCGAGGUCGGCGGAAACUGUUCGACUCGAGGACGGUAGAGGGGGGUGGAAUUCCCGGUGUAGUGGUGAAAUGCGUAGAGAUCGGGAGGAACACCUGUGGCGAAGGCGGCCCCCUGG